rnacentral:rRNA from 1 species
AGAGUUUGAUCCUGGCUCAGAGUUAACGCUGGCGGCGUGCCUAACACAUGCAAGUCGAGCGAAUAUGUAAAAGGGGCAACUCUUUUGCAUGUUAGCGGCAGACGGGUGAGUAACACGUGGGGAAUCUUCCCUCGGGCGGGGGAUAACCUGCCGAAAGGCGGGCUAAUACCGCAUAAUACCUCUUGGUGUUCGCACCGAGCGGUCAAAGCAGUAAUGCACUUGAGGAUGAUCCUGCGUCCUAUCAGCUAGUUGGUGAGGUAAUGGCUUACCAAGGCUACGACGGGUAGCCGGCCUGAAAGGGUGACCGGCCACAAUGGCACUGAGACACGGGCCAUACUCCUACGGGGGGCAGCAGUGAGGAAUUUUGGACAAUGGGGGAAACCCUGAUCCAGCGACGCCGCGUGAAGGAUGAAGGUCUUCGGAUCGUAAACUUCUUUUGGUGGGGACGAAUUGCCCGUAAGGGAGUUGACGGUACCCACAGAAUAAGCCACGGCUAACUACGUGCCAGCAGCCGCGGUAAUACGUAGGUGGCAAGCGUUACUCGGAAUUACUAGGCGUAAGGCGCGUGUAGAUGGUUUGAUAAGUCGGACGUGAAAUCUUUCGGCUUAACCGGAAGGGGUCGUUCGAAACUAUCGGACUUGAGUGUGGGAGGGGAAUCUGGAAUUCCUGGUGUAGCGGUGAAAUGCGUAGAUAUCAGGAGGAAUACCAAUGGCGAAUGCAGGAUUCUGGCCCAAUACUGACAUUGAGACGCGACAGCUAGGGGAGCAAACAGGAUUAGAUACCCUGGUAGUCCUAGCCGUAAACUAUGUUCAUUAGGUGUGGGGGGUAUCGACCCCCUCCGCGCCGAAGCUAACGCAUUAAAUGAACCGCCUGGGGAGUACGGCCGCAAGGUUGAAACUCAAAUGAAUUGACGG